AAGCGUUAAGUAAUCCACCUGGGGAGUACGUUCGCAAGAAUGAAACUCAAAGGAAUUGACGGGGGCCCGCGCAAGCGGAGGAACAUGUGGUUUAAUUCGAUGAUACGCGAGGAACCUUACCCGGGCUUGAAAUGCAUCUGACAGGAGCAGAGACGCUCCCUCCCUUCGGGGCAGAUGUGUAGGUGCUGCAUGGUUGUCGUCAGCUCGUGCCGUGAGGUGUCGGCUUAAGUGCCAUAACGAGCGCAACCCUCAUCAUUAGUUACCAUCAGGUCAAGCUGGGGACUCUAAUGAGACUGCCAUCGUAAGAUGCGAGGAAGGUGGGGAUGACGUCAAAUCAGCACGGCCCUUACGUCCGGGGCGACACACGUGUUACAAUGGAUGGUACAAAGGGCAGCUACAUGGCGACAUGAUGCUAAUCUCUAAAACCAUUCUCA
rnacentral:rRNA from 1 species